rnacentral:rRNA from 1 species
AGUGAACGCUGGCGGUAGGCCUAACACAUGCAAGUCGAACGGCAGCACAGUAAGAGCUUGCUCUUACGGGUGGCGAGUGGCGGACGGGUGAGGAAUACAUCGGAAUCUACUUUUUCGUGGGGGAUAACGUAGGGAAACUUACGCUAAUACCGCAUACGACCUACGGGUGAAAGCAGGGGAUCUUCGGACCUUGCGCGAUUGAAUGAGCCGAUGUCGGAUUAGCUAGUUGGCGGGGUAAAGGCCCACCAAGGCGACGAUCCGUAGCUGGUCUGAGAGGAUGAUCAGCCACACUGGAACUGAGACACGGUCCAGACUCCUACGGGAGGCAGCAGUGGGGAAUAUUGGACAAUGGGCGCAAGCCUGAUCCAGCCAGACCGCGUGGGUGAAGAAGGCCUGCGGGUUGUAAAGCCCUUUUGUUGGGAAAGAAAAGCAGCAGGUUAAUACCCCGCUGUUCUGACGGUACCCAAAGAAUAAGCACCGGCUAACUUCGU